rnacentral:rRNA from 1 species
UACGAAGGGGGCUAGCGUUGCUCGGAAUCACUGGGCGUAAAGCGCACGUAGGCGGAUUGCUAAGUCAGGGGUGAAAUCCUGGAGCUCAACUCCAGAACUGCCCUUGAUACUGGCGGUCUCGAGUCCGGGAGAGGUGAGUGGAACUGCGAGUGUAGAGGUGAAAUUCGUAGAUAUUCGCAAGAACACCAGUGGCGAAGGCGGCUCACUGGCCCGGUACUGACGCUGAUGCACGAAAGCUAGGGGAGCAAACAGG